GAGUUUGAUCCUGGUCAGGAUGAACGCUGGCGGCGUGCUUAACACAUGCAAGUCGAGCGAAGCGAUUCAAAUGAAGUUUUCGGAUGGAUUUGAAUUGACUUAGCGGCGGACGGGUGAGUAACGCGUGGGUAACCUGCCUCAUACAGGGGGAUAACAGUUGGAAACGGCUGCUAAUACCGCAUAAGCACACAGUGCCGCAUGGUACGGUGUGAAAAACUCCGGUGGUAUGAGAUGGACCCGCGUCUGAUUACGGUAGUUGGUGAGGUAACGGCCACCAAGCCGACGAUCAGUAGCCGACCU
rnacentral:rRNA from 1 species